AAUUUUAUACAAUGGGCGCAAGCCUGAUCCAGCCAUGCCGCGUGAGUGAAGAAGGCAUUCGGGUGGUCCGGCUCUUUCGGACGGAAAGAAAUCGCGCAGGCUAAUAUCCUGCGCGGAUGAUGGUACCGUCAUAAGAAGCACCGGCCAACUACGUUCCAGCCGCCGCGGUAAUACGUAGGGUGCUAGCGUUAAUCGGAAUUAAUGGGCGUAAAGCGUGCGCAGGCGGUUGAUUAAGACAGGCGUGAAAUCCCCGGGCUUAACCUGGGAACUGCGCUUGUGACUGGUCAGCUAGAGUACGGCAGAGGGGGGUGGAAUUCCACGUGUAGCAGUGAAAUGCGUAGAGAUGUGGAGGAACACCGAUGGCGAAGGCAGCCCCCUGGGCCGAUACUGACGCUCAUGCACGAAAGCGUGGGUAGCAAACAGG
rnacentral:rRNA from 1 species